ACGUAUCCAACCUGCCGUCUACUCUUGGACAGCCUUCUGAAAGGAAGAUUAAUACAAGAUGGCAUCACGAGUCCGCAUGUUCACAUGAUUAAAGGUAUUCCGGUAGACGAUGGGGAUGCGUUCCAUUAGAUAGUAGGCGGGGUAACGGCCCACCUAGUCUUCGAUGGAUAGGGGUUCUGAGAGGAAGGUCCCCCACAUUGGAACUGAGACACGGUCCAAACUCCUACGGGAGGCAGCAUG
rnacentral:rRNA from 1 species